rnacentral:rRNA from 2 species
AUCAGCAAUCAUACCAACACUAAUGCACCGGAUCCCAUUAGAACUCCGCACUUAAGCGUACUUUGGCGAGAAUAAUACUAGGACGGGUGACCUCCUAGGAAGUCCUUUAGUUGCACCUC